rnacentral:rRNA from 1 species
GACGAACGCUGGCGGCGUGCUUAACACAUGCAAGUCGAACGGAAAGGCCCUGCUUUUGUGGAGUGCUCGAGUGGCGAACGGGUGAGUAACACGUGAGUAACCUGCCCUUGACUUUGGGAUAACUUCAGGAAACUGGGGCUAAUACCGGAUAGGAGCUCCUGCUGCAUGGUGGGGGUUGGAAAGUUUCGGCGGUUGGGGAUGGACUCGCGGCUUAUCAGCUUGUUGGUGGGGUAGUGGCUUACCAAGGCUUUGACGGGUAGCCGGCCUGAGAGGGUGACCGGCCACAUUGGGACUGAGAUACGGCCCAGACUCCUACGGGAGGCAGCAGCGGGGAAUAUUGCACAAUGGGCGGAAGCCUGAUGCAGCAACGCCGCGUGCGGGAUGACGGCCUUCGGGUUGUAAACCGCUUUCGCCUGUGACGAAGCGUGAGUGACGGUAAUGGGUAAAGAAGCACCGGCUAACUACGUG